rnacentral:piRNA from 1 species
UGUUAACCUAAACAACUCUCAUCCCCCAA